AGGUAUAUAGCUCAGUGGUAGAGCGUUUGACCGAAGAUCAAGAGGUCCCGGGUUCAAAUCCCGGACGAUUCAUAUUUU